rnacentral:rRNA from 1 species
UACCUUAUAACUAGCCCAAAUAUUCGAACUCAGAAAACAAAAUAAUUAUAUUACUAAUGACCUAAACAUUACAC